UGGGGAAUAUUGGACAAUGGGCGAAAGCCUGAUCCAGCCAUGCCGCGUGUGUGAAGAAGGUCUUCGGAUUGUAAAGCACUUUAAGUUGGGAGGAAGGGCAUUAACCUAAUACGUUAGUGUUUUGACGUUACCGACAGAAUAAGCACCGGCUAACUCUGUGCCAGCAGCCGCGGUAAUACAGAGGGUGCAAGCGUUAAUAGGAAUUACUGGGCGUAAAGCGCGCGUAGGUGGUUUGUUAAGUUGGAUGUGAAAUGCCCGUGCUCAACCUGGGAACUGCAUUCAAAACUGACUGACUAGAGUAUGGUAGAGGGUGGUUGAAUUUCCUGUGUAGCGGUGAAAUUCGUAGAUAUAGGAAGGAACACCAGUGGCGAAGGCGACCACCUGGACUAAUACUGACACUGAGGUGCGAAAGCGUGGGGAGCAAACA
rnacentral:rRNA from 1 species